rnacentral:lncRNA from 1 species
AUUUUACUAAAAAGACUUUAGUUUAUCCUCAUUACUAAUAAUGUUUUUGUUCUUGAUUUUACAUAGAUGCUACUUACCAUUUUAAGAGAAGCUUCAUUUACAUCUCUACUUUCUAGGUUUUUUUAGACAAGAAAGAGUAAAAAAGAAACAAACAAGAAUUGGUGGGGGUUUUGCCUAAAGCUUUUUUUAAAUCUAAAGAAAUUAUCAUAAGGUUUUUGUUGUUUUUCUUGUUGAUAUUAUCAAUUAUAUUUAUAGUUUUCCUAACAUGGAAUCAGCCCUGAAUUCCUGGUGUAAAUCCAGCUUAAUCAUAGUGUAUAUUUUUGUGAUAGGUUGUUUUAAUCUCUUUACUACUAUUUUAUUUAAAAAAUUUAUAUCAAUAUUAAUUAGAGCAAUUGAUCUGUACUUUUCUUUCUCUGUUUUGUCUCUCUCUGGUUUAGAUAUCAAGAUCAUAUUUAUCUCACAGAAGGAAUUUGCUGGUGCACCUGCCUGAAAUUUUCAAGCCGGUCCAACUCGGGAGAAGCUGCUGGACCUUGUUCUACCGUUGAUCUGCGGCAGAGAACAUCCCCAACUUCUCGUUAGCGGCAGCGGCAGCGGCAGGCGUCCAGGGUUCUUGGGACUCUGGUAUCACCUUGACUUUUGUGUUGUAUUUUGUGCCACUGUCUGUAGUUCCUGUGAUCUUGGGCCUAGUGGGUGUAUCUUGCUUUGACCCAUCUCUCUCUGAGCAAGUCAGGGUUCCC